GAGUCCUCCAAGAUUUCAGCUCUUCUUCUCAUUUGCAUGCUUUUCAUUUCCUCUGCUGCUCCAAUUCUUGGCUGUGGCAGUUGUGGCAAACCACGGCAUAAGCACAAAAGCCCUAAAAGACCAAAAACUGUUCCUCCAAUUGUUAAGCCUCCAAUUAAUUUGCCUCCUGUUACAGUUCCUCCAAUUGUAAAACCACCAAUCACACUCCCUCCCGUUACAGUUCCUCCAAUUGUAAAACCACCAGUGACACUCCCUCCUGUUACAGUUCCUCCAAUUGUGAAGCCACCAGUUACGCUCCCUCCUGUUACAGUCCCUCCGGUUACAGUUCCUCCAGUUUUAAAUCCACCAAAGGGAAGUGGGAAAAAACCUUGCCCAUCACCACCAGCAAAACAGGAGACUUGCCCUAUUGACACACUGAAAUUAGGGGCUUGUGUUGAUU
rnacentral:lncRNA from 1 species